rnacentral:tRNA from 1 species
AUUUAUAUAGUUUAAACAUAAAACAUUUCAUUUUCAAUGAAAAAAUAAGUUAUUACUUUUUAAAUA